GGUAUUUUGACUAUACAAAGGUAUUGAAAUAAGAUUUUAAUUGAAUGCUAAGAGAAUGGAAGUCCAGAAAAAAACUUUUUUUAAAUUAAAAAUUGAAGUUUUUUUAAUUUGUGCAGAAACAAUUAUUUAUAUUAAAGACAAGAAGACCCUAUGAAUUUAUUAAAUUUUUAUUUAAUAUGUAAUUACUAUUAGAAAAAUUUUGGCUGGGGCGGCUAAAAAAUAUUAUGAACUUUUUAAAAAUAAAAUGAUCCAUUAUUAAUGAUUUUAUGUUAAAUA
rnacentral:rRNA from 1 species